AGCUUUGCGCAGUGGCAGUGUUGUACCAAUGAGGUUUAUCCAAGGCAUGAUUAUUGCUAAUUGAAAACUUUUCCUAAUACCCUGCCAUGAUGACUUGCAAUAUAGUCGGCACUAGUAAUUUUUGACAGUCUCUACGGAGA